CGGGGUGGAGUAAUAUGUAGGAAUCUACCUAGAGGUGAGGGAUAACUUAGGGAAACUUAAGCUAAUACCACAUAAGCCCCACCGGGGGAAAGGCAGGGGCUCUUCGGACCUUGCGCCUUAUGAUGAGCCUACAUCGGAUUAGCUUGUUGGUGGGGUAAAGGGCCUACCAAGGCGACGAUCCGUAGCUGGUCUGAGAGGAUGAUCAGCCACACUGGGACUGAGACACGGCCCAG
rnacentral:rRNA from 1 species